rnacentral:lncRNA from 1 species
UACCUCGACUUAUGACUCUCACAGUGUGGCUUUUGGCUUCUCUUUCCUCAACCUAUUUAUCCUACUAAAAAGAUGGUCCGUCGGCUAGCACAUUCCAAAGGUUAUGAUCGUUUGAAUUCUUAAUCAUUUAUUCCACUAAUAACCUAUGGUUACUAACUAAACUACCUAAUCAUUUGUCUAAUUCUCAAGGUUAUCAAUAACUAACCAGUAACUUACCACAAAGUUUAUUUACCUAUUCUACAUA